rnacentral:rRNA from 1 species
UCGGGAAUUUUGGGCAAUGGGCGAAAGCCUGACCCAGCAACGCCGCGUGAAGGAUGAAGUAUUUCGGUAUGUAAACUUCGAAAGAAUAGGAAGAAUAAAUGACGGUACUAUUUAUAAGGUCCGGCUAACUACGUGCCAGCAGCCGCGGCAAUACGUAGGGACCAAGCGUUGUUCGGAUUUACUGGGCGUAAAGGGCGCGUAGGCGGCAAUUCAAGUCAUCUGUGAAAUCUCCGGGCUUAACUCGGAACGGUCAGAUGAUACUGCUUUGCUAGAGUGCAGAAGGGGCAAUCGGAAUUCUUGGUGUAGCGGUGAAAUGCGUAGAUAUCAAGAGGAACACCUGAGGUGAAGACGGGUUGCUGGGCUGACACUGACGCUGAGGCGCGAAAGCCAGGGGAGCAAACGGGAUUAGAUACCCGGGUAGUCCCUGAGCGGGCUGGCAAGGCGCAU